CUCCAUAGUACGAGAGCUGCAUGUGUAUGGGAGUGUGGUCCCUGUGAGCAGCCGGGAUCCUACUAAAUUUCAGCAUCAGGGAUUUGGCAUGCUGCUGAUGGAGGAAGCAGAAAGAAUAGCUAGAGAAGAACAUGGGUCUGGGAAAAUCGCUGUGAUAUCAGGGGUCGGCACCAGGAAUUAUUAUAGAAAGAUCGGCUACAGAUUACAAGGCCCGUACAUGGUGAAGAUGCUGAAAUAAUGGCCACACCAGUCCACUCUUCUGCAGUAUCCUCCCUGGCAGAACACGGAGAAUCAGGAUUUCUUAAAUACUCAACAGAGAGGCUGAGCAGAGCAAAUGGGGGGCUUCACCCUCAUCCCGCAGCUGCAGAGACUGGAAACUGCCUUCAAGGCCACGGCUGGUCAUCUGCUGACCACACCCCAGAUCCGCCCUCUCCUGCGUGCACCCCAAAAAAUCACUUGCGUUUUUGAGGCUUAAAUCAUCUAUCCAGUUUCUACAUUUUGCAUGAGGCCUGCAGGUGGCCUAUUUUGACUCAGACGGUGAAAAAAGCAAAUUAACUCAUUUGGACACCAUAACUCAUGCAAUAAAACUGAUUGUCAUUCGAG
rnacentral:lncRNA from 1 species